UAUAUAUAUAUAUAUAUAUAUAUAUAUAUACAUAUAUAUAUAUAAAUGAGAUGUGAUGUGGGCCAGGUGGCAUUUGAAUUUGGCCAUUUUUACUGAUGUGGCAACUAAUUGUGUUGAGUUUAGGAGGGAAAUCACAUAUGCCUUUUACAAUCACGAUUUCAAUAAAAAAGAGGCGGGAUCCGAAUGCAGUUGGGUCGGGUCUAUGAGUUUGGAUCUACUAUAAAUUAUUAUUUUUUAUAUGGCUUUACACACUUCAGAACACAAACACAAUUACGGUUUCUUAUUGAAUCUCUAUGUGCUCCUCCAUCAAUGUGUGAACCCGAUUGUAGAACAUGCUCCUUCUCCAUGAUACAUCGGAAACAUUAAUUCUUCAAGCUUAGCAUGUUCGUGUCUAAAGAUCAAGUUCUCAAAUCUUGGCUUACUUCAAUCACAUGGAUUUGCUAGGAACAGAUUCUAGACCAUAGACAAUAAACAAUCUCCAGAUACAUUCAAGGUCACCGAUGGGGUUUUUGCUGAUUUGUUACUAAAGCCGAUCGAAGAAGAUUUGAAGAUAUGUCCUCACAGAUAUGGAUCACAUUAACAACAGUCCUUCAUUUUUAAAGCUUAUUGAGGAAGAUGACCCAAUAUUUUUGGUAUGUUAUAUGUACGAGUAUGCCACAUGGUUCAAGUUCUCUUGAGUCCUCAUUGUGAAUUAGUUCGCUUUUCAAGUACUUUGCUUCUGAAGAUUGCAAUAGAAGUUUAGGAUGCAAGUGCACAUGUUGUGAGCCCUGGUGUGACCACUGAUGAAAUUGAUGUUGUGGUUCAUGAAGCAACCAUUGUUGCUGGUUCAGAAGAAGCUCAAUUCAGAUUUGGUGAAUUAGCAAAUUUUGAACCACAGAGACCAAAGGUUAAAGAUUCUCCAAGCUAUUCGAAUUUGUGACAUAUUACACGCUGCUCCUCAAUUUUCGUUCUUCUACUGAUCAAUUCUGCAGAUCCCUGUAACUGAUCAUUAUGCAAUGGUUAAGCUUACGCUUUUUUCUAAGACUGUUUGAUUAUGCUAAAUGAAUAGUCGUAAAAGUGUUCCAUUAUGUUAGAUAUGUGCUUGACUUGAGAUAAAGUAAGGGUUAAAGUUCAUUCUUCUAACUAAAGAGCUAAUACGUUUUUAGGUUCUUUAAAGUAUCAAAUCAUGAUUUUUUGAGAUAAUUGUCAGUGUUUGUUGCUUGAAUUAGUGUGGUCCAUUGGUCCGCACUACUUUCUCUUGAUAUGGAUCAAAGCCUCAUGAGUCAAUAUGUUUUUUUUACUUUUGUCUUUUCAAGUUUUAGUACAUAGUAUCAGAGACACUGUCGAUUAUUUUCUUGAUAUAAGUCUUUUUCAUGAACUUCCUCUAUUCGUUUUCACAUUAGCAUUAAAUUGGAUCUGAAAAUAGUCUUUGUUGAUAGAUCUUUUUGUUAAUUUGAACUGUAUGUUGCUUUGUUUGAUCAUGUAGACGUCCUAGAGGUCAUGUUGUGAGUCACGAGAGGACCAAAGAGGUAUAUUUGGUAUUUUGUUUAUCUUCACUUAUUGCUUACUGGAUUUGAUGAAGGUAUCAAAACAAAGAAGAGACUGAAUGACUGGACAAAUUUAUUACCUUAGAGAUUUGGUAACCCUAUUUCCUAGUUAGGCUACCUAACAAAAUAACACGAUGCUUAUUAAUUGUUUUAUGUUAUUUCUCCUCAUUUCAUUAUUCCUAAUUGAUUUUUUAUUUUGGUUUCCGUUUGUUUUUUUUUUUUUAUAGAAAUGUGUACCCCUUUUGCCUUUUUUGUGUUUUUUUUUUUGUGCUUCAUAAUAUGGCUUUUAUCAAUGGUGUAUGAAGCUGAAUAUGGUAUUUAAUGCGAUGCAUUAAGGUAAGCUUUGUUAUCGUUCAAAUGUUCUGUAGGUUCUAUUGGAGUUUAAAUUUAGUUUUUGAUUUUCAUAUUUGAAUUUUUGUUCUUUCAAGUUUUGUGUGAACAUCCAAUGAAUAAAAAAAAUUUUGAUUAUUAGUGUAGGUUUUAUUAUACAAAACUCCAGUUAGGAUCUCUUCCAAAGGAUUAUUAUGCAAAUCAGGUCUCUUUCUACUGACCAGUUUGCUUAUUAUUUUAUUAAUGUACUGUUUCAUACAUUCUUUUGUAUUUAUUGUUAUGUGAUGUUGUAUAGUUUUGAAUGGAUUGAUGGAAUUGGGUUUAUGUGAAAGAAUGAGAAUAUCAUAUUAUCAAUGGUUCUGGUUGUGGCCGCCUGUGUUGUUAGGGUUUCUAAGGUAUCCUCCGAAUCAUUGAUUUUCUUUCACCGGUAAUAUGAUAUUCUCAUUCUUUGUGUGUUUUUUUUGUCGAAGUAGGUUAACAUUUGGCAAUUGUUUCCUUUAUUCGUUCUUUGUUGCAGAUUUGGGUUACAAGUUCGUCGGUUCAGUUGUUAAUCAAUUAUCUUACCUAAAUAUUGACAUGGUUUGGUAUUAGAAGAUUCAUUACUUUUUAUAAAAGACAUAUUUUUUAUGGUUUCCAGGUUCGAAAAUUAUUCUAUACAUUAGCUUUACUUUUUGUUAUAAAAAACUUAGAGUACUUUACAGUAUUUAUUGAAACAUAUGAAAUAAAUACAGCCUGCUCAUGAUGAACCUUUAAAUGUUGUUCCUUUUGAUUCAAAUCCAACUGUUAACAUCCAAAUCCGGGUCUGUGAAACAAAUUCUUUAGUCCUCUAAUGCUUCAAUAUUUUGUCAUUCACCUUAUUUUUUCAACUAUUUUUUUACCUUUUUUAAUUUUAUUUUACAGGAUUCUGUUUCCCGUACCGGUGAUGACGACACGCCGAUGUCCAAUUUGAAUAAUAGAAUAUUUACUGCACUCUCCGGAGCGGAUAAUUGUUGUUCUUCGAAGAUGAUGGAGAAUGAACUUAAGCGUAAUUUGGAUGUCGGUUAUGAUGUGGAUUUAUGUUCAUCUCAGUCUUCAAUUAACCGUGUAAGGGUGAUUGUGAGAACAAUGAAGGUUUGAAUGUGAAGGUGGGUCUUUUGAAUCCAAAGCUGGAAAAGUAGUCUCAGAAUCUAAUAGUCAUCUCAGUGUCUUCAAACAACUUUUCAAUGUUUUUUUUCGUUCAAUCGUAUUUCGAACAUUUGUGUCA